UUCUUGAGUGUGUACUUGUUAAGCCUUUUAAGAAAAAAGUUAUUAACUUAAGGAAUUAUAACAAAGAAGCAACACGUAAAUGGAUUUUCCAUUUUUUAGUGUGUAUCAAUCGAGUUUCUGACCUAUCAGCUUUUGAUGUUAGGGUAUUGGCCUAACAUGGCUAUGACGGGUAACGGGGAAUUAGAGUUCGAUUCCGGAGAGGGAGCCUGAGAAAUAGCUACCACAUCUAAGGAAGGCAGCAGGCGCGUAAAUUACCCAACUCUAAAGAAGAGAGGUAGUGACAAGAAAUAACAAUACAAGGCCAAUCUGGCUUUGUAAUUGGAAUGAUGGGAAUUUAAAACCUUCCCAAAACUCAAUUGGAGGGCAAGUCUGGUGCCAGCAGCCGCGGUAAUUCCAGCUCCAAUAGCGUAUAUUAAAAUUGUUGCAGUUAAAACGCUCGUAGUUGAAUUUCAAAGAAUCGAUAUUUUAAGUAGCACUUUGUAGAUUAAUCCACAUAACUGAUACUACGUAUCGACUUUGUGCGCAUUUUUCUACUUAUGUGUUCUUUUAAUUAAAAUGAUUCUUUUUAAGAUCUUUCUUUUUUGCUUCGGCAUUUUAGGAGAUCUUGUUACUUUGAGUAAAUUAGAGUGUUCAAAGCAAACAGAUUAUAGCAUCUUUAUGCGUUUGAAUACUACAGCAUGGAAUAACAAAAUUGAACAAGUCAGAAUUUUGUUCUUUUUUCUUAUUUUGGCUUAGUUACGAUUAAUAGGAGUAGCUUGGGGGCAUUUGUAUUCAGAUGUCAGAGGUGAAAUUCUUAGAUUUUCUGGAGACAAACAACUGCGAAAGCAUUUGCCUAAAAUACUUCCAUUAAUCAAGAACGAAAGUUAAGGGAGUGAAGACGAUCAGAUACCGUCGUAAUCUUAACCAUAAACUAUGCCGACUAGGC
rnacentral:rRNA from 1 species